AGCUACCCAAAUCGGGCGCGAGGUCUGGCGCCACCACCGGCGAUGCGCUGUUUACCACAACGCCCUGGAAGACACAGGACGACAUGGCGAUCGAUCCCGAGAUCUACUCGCACCG
rnacentral:snRNA from 1 species